rnacentral:rRNA from 1 species
CCUACGGGCGGCAGCAGUGAGGAAUAUUGGUCAAUGGACGAGAGUCUGAACCAGCCAAGUAGCGUGAAGGAUGACUGCCCUAUGGGUUGUAAACUUCUUUUAUAUGGGAAUAAAAUGUUCCACGUGUGGGAUUUUGUAUGUACCAUAUGAAUAAGGAUCGGCUAACUCCGUGCCAGCAGCCGCGGUAAUACGGAGGAUCCGAGCGUUAUCCGGAUUUAUUGGGUUUAAAGGGAGCGUAGGUGGAUUGUUAAGUCAGUUGUGAAAGUUUGCGGCUCAACCGUAAAAUUGCAGUUGAAACUGGCAGUCUUGAGUACAGGAGAGGUGGGCGGAAUGCGUGGUGUAGCGGUGAAAUGCUUAGAUAUCACGAAGAACUCCGAUUGCGAAGGCAGUUCACUGGACUGCAACUGACACUGAGGCUCGAAAGUGUGGGUAUCAAACAGGAUUAGAUACCCCGGUAGUC